AGCCCCCGUGCUUAUAUAAAGCAGGUCCCGGGCGCAGCUCGUUCUUUUGCGUCCGCCUCGCCGCCUUCCCACCUCGUCUUGUUCCAGUGAGUCAUCCUCAUCCGACGCCCUGGGAACUCGAGGGUAUUACUGUCUGGUUAACGUGAUCAGAGGGUACAGGAUGAAUCUCGAAGGAGAGGGUCGUCUCUGGGCCUCCAAGGGAACCCCGUGUAGACAUCGAGAACCUUUGGGUUCCUGACCUCGGGUUUUCUGUUGGCAGAAAGCAGACUUUAGUGGAACAGGAUGGAUCCAGGAGUAGGAAAGGACUGGUGAUGUGCACAUUUCUCCUAAGUACCCAUGUCCACAUGGCUGAAUAGACAGAGUCUGGAGAACAGAGGAGGUCAGGAGCCCUGUGUGCCACUGGGCAGAAAGAAAGUAGGUUGAUUGCAGUCUGAUACUCCCCCUGGUUCAGUCUGUCCUGACAGGAGUUUCUCACCGCUGGAGUUGGAAUACAAGGCCUUUUGGAAAAGACUGACCCUGUAUUUUCAUGAAAAAGCAUAAUAUAAUUUUGUAGGUUUCCUAUCUGUAAAAGAAAAAUAAAAAAUCCUUUAAAUCCAAAUGUGCUCGGA